UUGAGGGCCUUGUAGGUGGUGAGGAGAAUCUUGAAAUGUAUCCUUUGUGUAACCGGUAGCCAGUGAAGGUCAUGGAGGACUGGGGUGAUGUGGUCACUUGAGCAGGUAUUAGUAAGUAGGUGGGCAGCAGAGGUCUGUACUGCAGUUUAUUAAGGACUUUGUUAGUGGUACCAUAGAGGAUACUGUUGCAGUAGUCAAGCCUGGAUGUUAUAAAUGCAUGAAUGUAUAUGUAUUCAUAAAUUUGUAUUUCAAUGAAUUUUACGUUACUAUUGCAUGUUCCUGUGUCUGUCGCAUAAAGUACUUUGCUUUUGAUCAGACAUGACAUUAGCCUUCCAGAUCCUCCACCAGGUAUGGUUCAGCCUCUUUUAGAACUUCAUAGAACACUUGCUUGGCUGUGGCUCCUUUCUUUUGUAUCAUGGUGUCAGGGAUUCAAAUGAGGACCCAAGCGCAGAUCGGUAGAAAAAGGAUUUAUUCCAGAAAACAAGCAGGCUGGCAGACAAGCAGGUAGGCAAAAACAGAUUAAAAAACAAACUCAAAAAGGCACAAUUAAAAAAAACACAGACAACGGAAAAGGCAAGCACUCCAGUUGAGACAAUCUGACAGGGAACAUGAGGCAAGACAGGGCUUAAAUAGGCAGGGUAAUCCUUGGGAACAGGUGAUGAGCAGAACAGAUGGGAAACAGAAGAAAGACAGGCGAAGGAGCGGAGCACAUGGUAGCGCAUUGCUACCACAACAAAAACACAGGACAUGUCAAAACACAGAAUCAGACAAGACAGAGUCCAAGUACUGACACAUGGUGAGCACAAAGUUCCGUUCCACACUGGUGCGUUUGAUCAUCACCACCUCCUGCUCCAGGUCAUUAAGAACCUGCCUCUGCUGGAGUUGGCUUAGAAUGGGGUUAAUGACAAGGGGUAGAUGACUUUCCAGGGCCACCUUGAGCCUGCCUUGGAUUUUGAUGAUUUAAAGGUGCUGAAAGAAAAAAAACAUCAGUACUUAAAAUUUCGCAAAACACCCCAUCCCCUUGUGUACUUACAAAUGCUGAAACUGAUAUCAGAUAUGAUCAGAUCUGUUGAAGUGAAACCUUAAAGAAAACCACACACUUAUGACAAUGAUCAAACACGACCACUUGUCAAGGGCUCAUCUACACGUCUUGGUUCACUGCGCGUCAUCCUCCUCCUCAGCUUUUCUCUUUCCUGAAGAAACCAGGGGCAGGAAACUGUUUUUUCCAUGUGGAAAAGCUUUUUUCUUCUUUU
ensembl:lncRNA